GAUGAACGCUGGCGGCGUGCCUAAUACAUGCAAGUCGAGCGAACAGACGAGGAGCUUGCUCCUCUGACGUUAGCGGCGGACGGGUGAGUAACACGUGGAUAACCUACCUAUAAGACUGGGAUAACUUCGGGAAACCGGAGCUAAUACCGGAUAAUAUAUUGAACCGCAUGGUUCAAUAGUGAAAGACGGUUUUGCUGUCACUUAUAGAUGGAUCCGCGCCGCAUUAGCUAGUUGGUAAGGUAACGGCUUACCAAGGCGACGAUGCGUAGCCGACCUGAGAGGGUGAUCGGCCACACUGGAACUGAGAAACGGUCCAGACUCCUACGGGAGGCAGCAGUAGGGAAUCUUCCGCGAUGGGCGAAAGCCUGACGGAGCAACGCCGAGUGAGUGAUGAAGGUCUUCGGAUCGUAAAACUCUGUUAUUAGGGAAGAACAAAUGUGUAAGUAACUAUGCACGUCUUGACGGUACCUAAUCAGAAAGCCACGGCUAACUACGUG
rnacentral:rRNA from 1 species